rnacentral:rRNA from 1 species
ACAACUUUCAGCAACGGAUCUCUUGGUUCUCCCAUCGAUGAAGAACGCAGCGAAAUGCGAUAAGUAAUGUGAAUUGCAGAAUUCAGUGAAUCAUCGAAUCUUUGAACGCACCUUGCGCCCUCUGGUAUUCCGGAGGGCAUGCCUGUUUGAGUGUCAUUAA